rnacentral:rRNA from 1 species
ACAAGGGCGCAGGGCGAAUGCCUUGGCACUGGGAGCCGAUGAAAGACGUGAUAAGCUGCGAUAAGCUUCGGGGAGCUGCAAAUAAGCAUUGAUCCGGAGAUUUCUGAAUGAGGAAACUCACCUGGGUUCAUACUCAGGUACAAUACACUGAAAUUCAAAAUAGGUGUAUUGAGGGAACCGCCUGAACUGAAACAUCUAAGUAGGGCGAGGAAGAGACAUCAAACGAGAUUCCGUAAGUAGUGGCGAGCGAACGCGGAAGAGGGCAAACCGAGAGUAGAAAUACUUUCGGGGUACGGACUGCUUUUAAGACUUAAUCUGUUAACCGAACGGCAUGGGAAGGCCGGUCAGAGAGUGUGAGAACCACGUAGGUGAAAACGGAGAGAGCUGCGCAGGAUCCAGAGUACGGCCAGACACGUGAAACCUGGUCGGAAUACGGGGGGACCACCCUCCAACCCUAAAUACUACCCAGUGACCGAUAGCGUAUAGUACUGUGAAGGAAAGGUGAAAAGCACCCCGGGAGGGGAGUGAAAAAGAACCUGAAACCCUGUGCCUACAAGCACCUAGAGCGCGUCAAAGCGUGAUAGGGUACUUUUUGUAGAACGGUCCGGCGAGCGAUUGUAUGCAGCAAGGUUAAGGACUUAAGGUCUGGAGCCGAAGCGAAAGCGAGUUUGAAAAGGGCGUUAAGUUGCAUAUAAUGGGCCCGAAACCGGGUGACCUACCCAUGGUCAGGUUGAAGUGGAAGUAAAAUUCCAUGGAGGACCGAACCGACCUCCGUUGAAAAGGCGGCGGAUGAACUGUGGGUAGCGGAGAAAUUCCAAUCGAACCCGGAGAUAGCUGGUUCUCCCCGAAAUAGUUUUAGGACUAGCCUCAAGUUAGAUACCUGGAGGUAAAGCACUGAAUAGCCUAGCGGCCGAGAGGUUAGCGAAGCUUAUCAAACUCAGAAUGCCAGAGUAUUGAUGCUUGGGAGUCAGACAGUGUCAGAUAAAUGUCAUUGUCAAAAGGGAAACAGCCCAGAUCUACAGCUAAGGUCCCAAAGUCAGGUUAAGUGGAAAACGAUGUGAAGAUACGCAGACAACCAGGAUGUUGGCUCAGAAGCAGCCACUCAUUCAAAGAGUGCGUAAUAGCUCACUGGUCGAGCGUCUUUGCGCGGAGAAUUUAACGGGGCUAAACCUGACACCGAAGCUUAGGCAAUACAGCAAUGUAUUGGGUAGGGGAGCGUUGUAUACGCGGAGAAACAGUAGCGCAAGCGGCUGUGGAGUGUAUAGAAGUGAGAAUGCCGGAAUGAGUAGCGCGAAUGCAGUGAGAAUCUGCAUGGCCGAAAGCCUCAGGUUUCUGGAGGAAGGUUCGUCCGCUCCAGGUUAGUCGGGAGCUAAGGUGAGGCCGAAAGGCGUAGCCGAUGCACAGACGGUAGAGAUUCCGUCACCACCAAAAGAGUUAAGCACAGGGACACAUAUGAAGUCUCAGAGCCGGGUGUUGGUUCCGGUAGAGAUCGAGGGAAAUUAGUACCGAAGUCUGAGAUGGAAGAUGGCGAGAAAAGCUGUGUGUAUUUCUGAGGUGCCCGUACCGCAAACCGACACAGGUAGGUAGGAAGAAGAUUCUAAGGCCAACGGGAGAAGGGUUGUUAAGGAACUCGGCAAAUUGACCCCGUAACUUCGGGAGAAGGGGUGCUCCAGAGAUGGAGCCGCAGAGAAUCGGCCCAAGCAACUGUUUACCAAAAACACAGGUUUGUGCUAAAUCGAAAGAUGACGUAUACGAGCUGACGCCUGCCCGGUGCUGGAAGGUUAAGAGGAGAUGUGCAAGCAUUGAAUCGAAGCCCCAGUGAACGGCGGCCGUAACUAUAACGGUCCUAAGGUAGCGAAAUUCCUUGUCAGGUAAGUUCUGACCCGCACGAAAGGCGUAACGAUUUGGGCGCUGUCUCAGCUGUAGACUCGGUGAAGUCUUAGUACCUGUGAAGAUGCAGGUUACCCGCGACUAGACGGAAAGACCCCAUGGAGCUUCACUGCAGGUUGAUAUUGGGAUUUGAUGCAGCAUGUACAGGAUAGGUAGGAGGCAAAGAGAUGGAUACGCCAGUAUUCAAGGAGCCGCUGUUGGGAUACUACCCCUGUUGUAUUGGAUUUCUAACCGGACGACGUAGAGCCGUUGACGGGACAGUGUCAGUCGGGCAGUUUGACUGGGGCGGUCGCCUCCCAAAGAGUAACGGAGGCGCCCAAAGAUACCCUCAGCUUGGAUGGAAACCAAGCGCAGAGUGCAAAGGCAAAAGGGUGUUUGACUGCGAGACCCACAAGUCGAGCAGGGACGAAAGUCGGGCUUAGUGAUCCGGCGGUGCUGAAUGGAAAGGCCGUCGCUCAACGGAUAAAAGCUACCCUGGGGAUAACAGGCUGAUCUCCCCCAAGAGUCCACAUCGACGGGGAGGUUUGGCACCUCGAUGUCGGCUCAUCGCAUCCUGGAGCUGAAGUCGGUUCCAAGGGUUGGGCUGUUCGCCCAUUAAAGCGGUACGCGAGCUGGGUUCAGAACGUCGUGAGACAGUUCGGUCCCUAUCUGUCGUGGGCGCAGGAAAUUUGAGAAGAGCUGUCCUCAGUACGAGAGGACCGGGAUGGACGCAUCAAUGGUGGACCAGUUGUCACGCCAGUGGCAUAGCUGGGUAGCUAAAUGCGGAAGGGAUAAACGCUGAAGGCAUCUAAGUGUGAAACCCACUUCAAGAUGAGAUUUCCCAUUGCGCAAGCAAGUAAGACCCCUUAAAGACGAUAAGGUAGAUAGGUCAGGAGUGUAAGCAUGGUGACAUGUUAAGCGGACUGAUACUAAUAGGUCGAGGGCUUGACCG